UACGUAGGGUGCGAGCGUUGCCCGAAUUUAUUGGGCGUAAAGGGCGCGUAGGCGACUCGGCACGUCCGUUGUGAAAUCGCCCGGCUCAACUGGGCGGGGUCAGCGGAUACGGCCGAGCUUGAGCAAGCUAGGGGGCAAUGGAAUUCCCGGUGUAGUGGUGGAAUGCGUAGAUAUCGGGAGGAACACCAGUGGCGAAGGCGGUUGCCUGGAGCUUUGCUGACGCUGAUGCGCGAAAGCGUGGGGAGCGAUCCGG
rnacentral:rRNA from 1 species